rnacentral:lncRNA from 1 species
CCCCGAGAUAUUUUCCGUAUGCAAGGUGACCGUAGGGUGACCCAUCUCGUAAAAAUCCGGUGACCACAAUACGCAUGGAUGUCCUUAAAAUAAACUAUUAUCUGAAUUUACAUGUUAAACACGUGCUCAAUUUCCAUGCUUUUUUGUUUAUUUUUCGUCAAUUGUUGACAAACAGGUGACAAUCGUUAAACUUCGGCUUCAAGACACGAACUUUAAUUACCUGCCAUAUUUUCACAACAACACUGACCGAUUGAAAAAAAAAUUGACAAUUAUACGAAAUUUACACGAAAAAAAUGAUAAAUUCGAGCACAGAAGACUAAGUUUAUGAUGUUUGUAUGCAUUGGUUCAAGAAUUGGAAGAACAUUAUUUUUCACCGGUCACUCGUUUCUUAUGACUUUAA